AUUGAACGCUGGCGGCAGGCUUAACACAUGCAUGUCGAGCGGAGAUGAGGUGCUUGCACCUUAUCUUAGCGGCGGACGGGUGAGUAAUGCUUAGGAAUCUGCCAUUUAGUGGGGGACAACAUUCCGAAAGGAAUGCUAAUACCGCAUACGUCCUACGGGAGAAAGCAGGGGAUCUUCGGACCUUGCGCUAAAUGAUGAGCCUAAGUCGGAUUAGCUAGUUGGUGGGGUAAAGGCCUACCAAGGCGACGAUCUGUAGCGGGUCUGAGAGGAUGGUCCGCCACCCUGGGACUGGAGCACGGCCCAGACUCCUACGGGGGGCAGCAGUGGGGAAUAUUGGACAAAGGGCGGAAGCCUGAUCCAGCCAUGCCGCGUGUGUGAAGAAGGCCUUUUGGUUGUAAAGCACUUUAAGCGAGGAGGAGGCUACCUGGAUUAAUACUCUAGGAUAGUGAACGUUACUCGCAGAAUAAGCACCGGCUAACUCUGUGCCAGCCGCCGCAGUAACAC
rnacentral:rRNA from 1 species